rnacentral:rRNA from 1 species
CCUACGGGAGGCAGCAGUAGGGAAUAUUGGACAAUGGGUGAGAGCCUGAUCCAGCCAUGCCGCGUGCAGGAAGAAGGCGUUAUGCGUUGUAAACUGCUUUUGCCAGGGGAUAAAACGGUUCUGCGGAACUAAUUGAAGGUACCUGGUGAAUAAGCCACGGCUAACUACGUGCCAGCAGCCGCGGUAAUACGUAGGUGGCAAGCGUUGUCCGGAUUUAUUGGGUUUAAAGGGUGCGUAGGCGGCCCUGUAAGUCAGUGCUGAAAUAUCCCGGCUUAACCGGGAGGGUGGCAUUGAUACUGCAGGGCUUGAGUACAGAUGAGGUAGGCGGAAUUGACGGUGUAGCGGUGAAAUGCAUAGAUAUCGUCAAGAACACCGAUAGCGAAGGCAGCUUACCAAGCUGUAACUGACGCUGAGGCACGAAAGUGUGGGGAUCAAACAGGAUUAGAUACCCUGGUAGUCCACACUGUAAACGUUGAUGACUCGAUGUUGGCGAUACACAGCCAGCGUCCAAGAGCAAUCGUUAAGUCAUCCACCUGGGGAGUACGCCGGCAACGGUGAAACUCAAAGGAAUUGACGG